rnacentral:rRNA from 1 species
GACGAACGCUGGCGGCGCGCCUAAUACAUGCAAGUCGAGCGAGAAGACGUAGCAAUACGUUUGUAAAGCGGCGAACGGGUGAGGAAUACAUGGGGUAACCGUACCCUAGAGUGGGGAAUAACUAGCCGAAAGGUUAGCUAAUACCGCGUACGCUCCUUGGACUUCGGUUCAGGGAGGAAAGCGAUGCCGAGGGUAUCGCGCUCUUGGAUGGGCUCAUGUCCUAUCAGCUUGUUGGNGAGGUAACGGCUCACCAAGGCUUCGACGGGUAGCCUGGGUCUGAGAGGACGACCAGCCACAUUGGGACUGAGACACGGCCCAGGACUCCUACGGGAGCAGCAGUAGGGAAUCUUGCGCAAAUGGGCGAAAGCCUGACGCAGCAACGCCGCGU